GAACUUUCUUCCAUUGGAAUAACGAAGAUUAUAACAAAGUCCGGUGCUUUCGGAACCGAUCGGCAGACGAUCACGCACGUUCCAAAAGAAUUCACGAUCCAUUUUGGUACGGGGAAACGGAAGGUACGAAGUUAGAAACGAAACGGAGAAAUGAACGAAAUGGAAAGAGGAAUAGAGUCAGCGUUCGCCUUUCCGCAUUUGGUGGUGAUUAUAAGAUUUAACCUAUUAUUAAUUCAAAAGAUUCAUAUUCCAAUGCGAAACGAAACAUGUCCUUACUUCUUAAGAGAAGAUAACAGUACACUUGUUGGGAGCUUGAGAAAGCUGUGCGCUUUUUCACGAGAGAUGGUGGCUGCUGUUUCCGGCUGCUUGGCGGAGCUUUCUAGCGAUGGAGACCGACGAAGAAGGGUCGCCGGCGUGUGCUUCCGUUUCAGCUUCAAGUUCGACAAACCCCGCUUUCUUCCUGAUGGCCGGGUCGAUUCGAUUGUGUUCCAACUCGGUUUUGGUGAGGUUUUUGCUCGAUUUCUUCCGGUUGGCGGCGGGCGGGUGAAGAUGGCGUGAGCGGAAUCCGGCGAAGGAUUUGAUGGCCACGGUCGCACGGAGGACUCAGAAGGAAGGUGGGGGGUGCUUCCUCGCUUCAAUUUGCAAGAGGCUGUGGAGGAUCUCUCCUGGGUUCAUAUUCCAACGUGGAACGAAACGUGUCCUUAGAAGAAGUGGGAGCUCUCUAGCGAUGGGAGACCGACGAAGGAGGAUCGGCGGCGUGUGCUUUUCCGUUUCGGCUUCGAGCUCGACAAGCCCCGCUUGGCUUCUCAGGUGAAGAUGGCGUGAGUGGAAUUCCGGAGAAGGGUUUGCUGGCGAUGGUCAAACGGAGGACUCGAAGGAAGGUGGGUGCUUCGUCGCUUCAUUUGGCAAGAGGCUGUGGACAAUCUCUCCUGAGUCCUCGUCUGGUCGAGAGGGACGGAGGGAGGAAUUGGAGAAAGCAAAGAGACUAGGAGGGUAAAUGUAUAACAUCAUUAUGCUGGUGUCCUGAUGGCAAGGUUACUGUCUUGGGACUUGAAGACGGUACAGUUUUACUGCAUGAUGUCGAAGUAAGUUCUCUAUGUUGUUACUUGAACGUUACCCCCUCAUUACUUCUCAACUAGAAAUUCCUCCUGCUACAGUCCUUUAUCAUCAGAACGUGUUCUUCUCUAAUCUCUCUUGGGAAAGAUUCUGAAUUGCUCAAAAUCUGCAUGAUGCAAUGCAAACAGCAAACUUGCUCAGCGAACAUUCAGCUGCUAGGAAAUCGAUUUUUAUUGGUCAUGUCUGUCCAUGUCAAAUUAACAAUGGAUUGCUAGAUAGGUCAAUCUGAGCAGGAUAAGAUUAACAAAAAAUUUUAUUAGAAAACUCUAUUCGAACAUGACCCAUUUGUUAAAUAGGUCAACAAAUUACAAGAGAUGAAUAACCCGUUUAAGUAAUUAGAUCAAAUUGAAUGGGUCAUUGCAAUCCUAACAUGGCCGACACGGCAUGUGUACAAUAUGCAUAUCUCCAUCAAUGUCAAAUAAGUUUGAAAAGAAACUACCCAUAAGCUUACAAAAAUCCUAGGUUUACAUGAAAUGUUAUAUUUAUAUGGUGUCAUCAAAUUGUAAUUUGUAACCACUAUGGAAACAAAAUUCAUGUAUGAUUUAUUAUUAGAGAACUUACUGAACUAAAUAUAAAAAGGUCAUGAUAGGACAAGUUAAUCAAGUUGGCACUUUUGUUUAGUUAGAUAGAUUACAUUAUUCAAUUUGUGUUUCGUGGUUUGAACUUUGAACCCAGAAAAAUAUUCGUUUAUUAAUUGUGUUAACUGUUAAGUAGGUAGCCACAAUUUUGAUACGACAUGAUAAACACUUAGGGUCACCCUUAGUUAGCUCAUGGAAAUACGAGUCAUGAAUCAAAAAAUUAAGUCUAUGCAUUGUGGAUCAUGAAUUUCAUCCAAUGGAAUCAUAAAAAUCUGAUAUAAUGUUUGAGAUUGGUAUUCCAUGACAGAUGUAAACUAAUUGUUAGGUAAUAACUAAGAUGAAAAUACUUUAAAUUUGACUAAUGUUAUUAUUUCCAGACUGAGAUUUUGGUAGAAAUUACUUUUCUUUUGUCAAAUAAGUACCCAUUUGACUGCAAGGACACAAAUAUUGUCUACAUAGUAUUGUAAUUGGAUUCCCUUUCAUAGAAUUUAGUAUAAGACAAUCAAACCAUCCACUAAACCUGAUGCAGCCAACAAAAUCAUGCAAGAUGACUACCAAGUUUUUGGUGAAGAUUGACUUUGAAACUCAAACAAAGGAUCAGGAUUCUUCUUGAAGUUUAAUCACUAAAAUUAUCAACUAGGAUUUGAGUAUUAUUAGGAUUUUAUGAAGUUUCCUUUUUCUUUUAGAGUUUGAGUAGUAGGAUCUUAUGUAUACUCCAAUUAUGUUUCUUGUUUAGAGGUUUCCUAUUUCAACUAGGAGUAGAACUUUUAGAGAGUACAAAUAUAGUUUGAAUAUUUACUUUGCAUUAGAGUUGAUAAUUUAUUGAACUUGACAAGUGUUUGCUUUGCAGAUUGUGUGAUGCAAUUCCUCUUUGGUGUGAUGCUUAAGAAACUCUAGGUGUGAUGCUUAGGCAGUUUUGCUUGUGAUGCCUAAAUAUUUGUUCUUUAUUGUGGGACUCAUCUCCUACAUCGAACAGUGAAUCACUUUAAUCACAUAUCACACAGAAUUAAUAUACUCAUUCAAUAGAUUUAUAUAUUUUAGGAGUUGAAUCUGGUUGAUGUGCUCAAUUGCAUUCUUGUGUAGGACAAAAUAUUGAUGUCGCUGCUAGUGUUGUCAUCAAUGAUUGUAACUAUUUCAGUUGUCAACAACGAAUUACAGCAUAGUGUUUACUGGGAUCCAGCUCAUUGUGAGAAUCUAUGGUCAAGUGGAUGGCAUCAUAUAGAAGCAUUCAUCUGAGACAUGCUCAUUUUCAUCAAAAUUGAUAGCUUCUCUCAAUUAUUAGUAAAAUAUGUUCAGUUCAGUCAAAUUAGGAAGUAAUUAUUUAGGUGAGACUUAAAUGAUAGGAUUUGUAUGUGCAUCAAUUAUGCUUGUGGGUGGAAAAGUUUUUAAAUAACUGGUUAUGUUUUAUUAAGCUAUAGUUGCUUGGUCAUGAGUAGAAUGCCCGAGGCUGCUGCAAUUCUGUUUCUUUGAGAUUUCUACCAGUUUAUCGCUAAUCGUCCACUUCAUGGAUUACAUUUUACUGAGAAGAGAGAUUGCUUGUACAUAAUUAAUGUUAUCUUACCAAAGUAGCUGUCUUUGUGGAACUAUGUAUAUGAGGGUGCUGCUUUUAAUAUGCUAGUGCUUGCAGUAGUUAUGCACACUAUGGUAUAAUCAUUUUUAACAUGGUAUAAAUAUUAAGCAGAAUGGAAAACUGUUUAGAAGCUUAAAGUCCCAUGUGGCAACUGGGGUGUGUCUCAACUGGGAGGAGGAUGCCCAAGUGAAUAGAAACGCUUCUGGUAACUCUUUGGCGUUUGAAGAUCGCACUAUUCGAUAUUUCCCUCCAGCUCCAAGAGUUCCUCGCAUGCUUGGACUAGUACCCAGAGGUGCUGGUUUAACUGAUGAUGGUCCAGAUUCAUUUGUUGAGCUCUCAAAUUCUUCAAAGCAAUGUUCUAUAUCCUUUGUAGUGGAGAUAAAGAUGUUGUCGAGAAAGUUCUUUUUACUUCUUUCGCUUUUCCUAAAUGUGCUUCGCUUCCUUUUUCGCCAUAGGAGCAUCUGUAAUUGCCGAUCUAGCUCGAAUUGCGUUCGAUGGAGAAUUGGACGAAUAUAGAGGUAUGAAGCGCUUGGAAGUCUAAAUGAGAAGGUGACAUCGAAUUGAGGAGUUGGUCUUUUUACACAGAAACGAAGAGUGAAUGAUGGUGAUGCGAGUGGAGAUCUAGAGAACUAAGGAGUUGUUACCCUUUUCGGUACACCAGUCAAAGCGUCCAUGAAAUUAAAGAACAUGAAUUGGAGGGGACGUCCUUUAUGCUUGAUAGGUUUGAUAUGUCAGAUGCAGAAAUGCUUGAUGCACACUUGGGAGUUCGCAGGUUUAGCCCCUGCAGAAUACCAUCUAAAUGUUCAUCAGGCAUCUAAAAGGAUCUUCUUA